GCGCCCGUAGCUCAGGGGACAGAGCAGCGGCCUUCUAAGCCGCUGGCCGAAGGUUCGAAUCCUUCCGGGCGUA
rnacentral:tRNA from 1 species